rnacentral:rRNA from 1 species
UACGGAGGUGGCUAGCGUUGUUCGGAAUUACUGGGCGUAAAGCGCACGUAGGCGGCUUUGUAAGUUAGAGGUGAAAGCCCGGAGCUCAACUCCGGAAUUGCCUUUAAGACUGCAUCGCUUGAAUCAUGGAGAGGUGAGUGGAAUUCCGAGUGUAGAGGUGAAAUUCGUAGAUAUUCGGAAGAACACCAGUGGCGAAGGCGACUCACUGGACAUGUAUUGACGCUGAGGUGCGAAAGCGUGGGGAGCAAACAGG